rnacentral:rRNA from 1 species
UUGCUAGUAAUGGCAGGUCAGCAUACUGCCGUGAAUACGUUCCCGGGCCUUGUACACACCGCCCGUCACACCAUGAGAGUUGGGGAUACCCGAAGCCUGUGAGCCAACUUUUUAAGAGGCAGCAGUCGAAGGUAGAAUCAAUGAUUGGGGUGAAGUCGUAACAAGGUACC